GCUCUCGUGGUCCAGUUGGUUAGUGCGUCGUACUUAUAAGCAGUGGAGGAGUAUAUGCGAAGGUCGAGGGUUCGAUCUUCUCCGGGAGCA
rnacentral:tRNA from 1 species